CGAUAUGCAUAUACUGAUAUGUUUAUCCGUGUAUAUAUACACUUGCUUGCUAUCAGUUGUUAUAUACAAUUAUCAAUGUAUAUAUAUGUACGCACAUGCAGCUUUAUGUAUUGAUAAGUGCAUAUAUAUUGAGUAUGGAUACACUAAUACGUACAUUUUAUAUACACUGAUAUAUAUGACCAUAUAGAUGCUUAUUAAUAAUGUAUAUAUAUAUAUAUAUAGAGGGAAAAAUGGGAUUAGCCCACUAGCUCAUAUGAACAUAUAAGCC
rnacentral:lncRNA from 1 species